GACGAACGCUGGCGGCGUGCUUAACACAUGCAAGUCGAACGGAAAGGCCCUGCUUUUGUGGGGUGCUCGAGUGGCGAACGGGUGAGUAACACGUGAGUAACCUGCCCUUGACUUUGGGAUAACUUCAGGAAACUGGGGCUAAUACCGGAUAGGAGCUCCUGCUGCAUGGUGGGGGUUGGAAAGUUUCGGCGGUUGGGGAUGGACUCGCGGCUUAUCAACUUGUUGGUGGGGUAGUGGCUUACCAAGGCUUUGACGGGUAGCCGGCCUGAGAGGGUGACCGGCCUCAUUGGGACUGAGAUACGGCCCAGACUCCUACGGGAGGCAGCAGUGGGGAAUAUUGCACAAUGGGCGGAAGCCUGAUGCAGCAACGCCGCGUGCGGGAUGACGGCCUUCGGGUUGUAAACCGCUUUCGCCUGUGACGAAGCGUGAGUGACGGUAAUGGGUAAAGAAGCACCGGCUAACUACGUG
rnacentral:rRNA from 1 species